GAGGACAAAACAAGCUUCCUAUACCACAACUGGAAGGAAACAGAGAUGGUUAGCAUGGAACCUGUACAAGGAUAGCAUACAGAUCUGUGAAUCAUUCUAUAGUUUUCUUUU
ensembl:snRNA Gm22236 predicted gene, 22236